rnacentral:sRNA from 1 species
GCGAGGUAGGCAGACUCCUGGGGAAGCGUCUGCCGAUGGCUUUGUGUCCGGGACACACCCUAGAACUGCUUUCUUUUCAGAUGCCCCAUGGUGUGGUCACUGCAAACAGUUGGCUCCCAUUUGGGAUAAACUGGGAGAGACGUACAAGGACCAUGAGAACAUCGUCAUCGCCAAGAUGGACUCGACUGCUAACGAGGUGGAGGCCGUCAAAGUGCACAGCUUCCCCACACUCAAGUUCUUUCCUGCCAGUGCUGACAGGACGGUCAUCGAUUACAACGGGGAACGCACGCUGGAUGGUUUUAAGAAGUUCCUGGAGAGCGGUGGCCAGGAUGGGGCAGGGGAUGAUGAUGAUCUCGAGGACCUGGAAGAAGCAGAGGAGCCAGACAUGGAGGAAGAUGAUGAUCAGAAAGCUGUGAAAGACGAACUGUAAUACGCAAAAGCCAGACCCGGGCGCCGCCGAGACCCCUCGGGGGCUGCACACCCAGCAGCAGCGC